CUGCAAUGAUGACCAGCUUAGGACACCUUUGGAAUCCUCAUGAAAACAGCUAAGUGAUUCUGAGCAGU
rfam:Anolis carolinensis chromosome 2, whole genome shotgun sequence.